rnacentral:rRNA from 1 species
UGGGGAAUAUUGGGCAAUGGGCGAAAGCCUGACCCAGCGACGCCGCGUGGGCGAUGAAGGCCUUCGGGUUGUAAAGCCCUGUCAUGCGGAAAGAACGACCCUGAGACGCAUACUCUCAGGGAGUGACGGUACCGCAGGAGGAAGCACCGGCUAACUCCGUGCCAGCAGCCGCGGUAAUCCGGAGGGUGCAAGCGUUGUUCGGAAUUAUUGGGCGUAAAGGGCGCGUAGGCGGUAAUGUAAGUCAGAUGUGAAAUACUCCGGCUCAACCAGAGAACUGCAUCGGAAACUACAUAACUAGAGUACAGAAGAGGGAAGCGGAAUUCCCGGUGUAGAGGUGAAAUUCGAAGAUAUCGGGAGGAACACCAGUGGCGAAGGCGGUUUCCUGGUCCGAUACUGACGCUGAGGCGCGAAAGCGUGGGGAGCAAACA